CCUACGGGGGGCAGCAGUGAGGAAUAUUGGUCAAUGGACGAAAGUCUGAACCAGCCAAGUAGCGUGAAGGAUGACUGCCCUAUGGGUUGUAAACUUCUUUUAUAUGGGAAUAAAAUGUUCCACGUGUGGGAUUUUGUAUGUACAAUAUGAAUAAGGAUCGGCUAACUCCGUGCCAGCAGCCGCGGUAAUACGGAGGAUCCGAGCGUUAUCCGGAUUUAUUGGGUUUAAAGUGAGCGUAGGUGGCUUGUUAAGUCAGUUGUGAAAGCUUGCGGCUCAACCGUAAAAUUGCAUGUGAAACUGGCAGUCUUGAGUACAGUAGAGGUGGGCGGAAUUCGUGGUGUAGCGGUGAAAUGCUUAGAUAUCACGAAGAACUCCGAUGGCGAAGGCAGCCCACUGGACUGCAACUGACACUGAGGCUCGAAAGUGUGGGUAGCAAACAGGAUUAGAUACCCUUGUAGUC
rnacentral:rRNA from 1 species